ACGCAGAGAUUCAGGGAGGAGCUGAGCUGCUACUGAACUAUAGAAGAGAGAGGAGCUUCCAUAUUCAGACCAGUUCAAUCUACAAAGCACCAACAUCUCCUGGAUUCAACAUGCUCUCACUGCAUCAGGCUCUAUCUUCUCUACUGCUUCUCUCCACUCUAACAGCAAUCAGCUGUGAAGAACUCAAACCGGUCCACAGUGAAGAGUUCAGUGCAGAAGGCAGCUCUGUUACUCUGUCCUAUAACUCCUCCAAAGUGAACACACAGGAUUAUUUCUACUGGUAUCGACAGAAUCCAGGACAAGCUCCAGAGUUCCUCAUCUCACACUCUGCUUCAGGACAAAUACUAGCUGCUCCAACCUCUGGACUGAAGAUCCAAGUGGAGCAGAACCAUAUCCACAUGAUCAUCUCCUCUGCUGCAGUGACAGACUCUGCUGUGUACUACUGUGCUGUGAGGCCCACAGUGACAGGAAACUACACAACUCUGUACAAAAACUCCAGCUGCCAGAAGCCUCCUCUCCUCACUGCUCACCUCAGCUUCUUCCCUCCACUAGAGGGCGAUAUAAGUCAGUAGGUGUGCGUGAUAACUGCUGUGAGGAGACCACGUGUCAGACUGAAGGUUGAACCUCAGCGAGUUCCUCCUGUGGAGUUAAACCUUGUUGUGGAGAUGGAACAUCGGCUCUGGAUGAUUCUUGCUGCUCUGGUCUUUAGUAAGAAA